rnacentral:lncRNA from 1 species
AAAAAUCCAAUAAAAAAAUAUCCUUCAACCAAUCAAGUAUAAUAUGAAUCAAAUUUGUCAAUCCAGAGAGAGAGAGAGGGGAAUAAUAGGCAUUACUUAUUUCAUGCGAAAAAAAGAAAGAAAAAAAAGAUAAUAUUAAUGUCCUCUUAAUUUAUCCAAUAGAUAAAGGUUUUAUUUAUUAUUAUUAUUAUUAUUAUUUGCUACAGGUCUAGCAAGGCAACACGCACACACAAAAAUAUAUUUCAUUUGGAGUGGGUGGUCUUCCCUCGCAAAUUGACACACUGUUGGGCUCAGCCAGCGAACAUCUUACGCUGCAUUCAUCUUCCUUUCCUAGCCGGAGUGGCCCUCUUGGCUUGGGGCAAUAUGAACCAUAUAUAAUCUUUCUGCAGCUGGGAUCAGCCGACGUCACCCCUUCAAAAACAAAACAAUCAAAUUUUCAAAAGUACAAUGACAUUUUCGACAUUUUUUAUUUAAAUUUUUAGUAAAAGCAAUUGGGGAGAGGUGUUUGUACAAAUGAAUUGGGUGCCUCGGGGUUUCAAAUCUCUACCCACAUAAAUAGAAGUGAAAGAAUUCAACCAACUGAGCUAUAUCCCGCAUCCACAUUCAUAUUUAUCAAACAAGACAUUGUCAUGCAUCUGCCACAUUAUAUAGAGACUAAAAUUUGGGUCCACUCGAAAUCUCAUUCAUGCUUACCGUUUGAGUUAUUUUCUUUGACAAUCGCUUUCGUGAACAUAGCUGACGAAAAAACAAAAUCUUGAGUUAGUUAUGCCAGUUGAUAUACGUAGAGAUUUACAAUGAGAUGUUGAAAGUAUAUAUAUAUAUAUAUAUAUAUAUAUAUACCUGAACCAAGAAGAACAAGGAUGAUAAAAAAGUUGAGUUGCGGC